rnacentral:rRNA from 1 species
GAUGAACGCUAGCUACAGGCUUAACACAUGCAAGUCGAGGGGAAACGACAUUGGAAGCUUGCUUCCUUGGGCGUCGACCGGCGCACGGGUGAGUAACGCGUAUCCAACCUUCCCGCAAGUAAGGGAUAACCCGUAGAAAUGCGGCCUAAUACCUUAUGUUUUCCUUAGAUGGCAUCUGAUGAGGAACAAAGAUCCGUCGCUUGCGGAUGGGGAUGCGUCUGAUUAGUUAGUCGGCGGGGUAACGGCCCACCGAGACGACGAUCAGUAGGGGUUCUGAGAGGAAAGUCCCCCCACAUUGGAACUGAGACACGGUCCAAACUCCUACGGGAGGCAGCAGUGAGGAAUAUUGGUCAAUGGGCGAGAGCCUGAACCAGCCAAGUAGCGUGCAGGACGACGGCCCUAUGGGUUGUAAACUGCUUUUAUACGGGAAUAAAGUGGGCCACGCGUGGUCUUUUGCAUGUACCGUAUGAAUAAGGACCGGCUAAUUCCGUG